AGGGGCGUAGCUCAGUCGGUAGAGCGGUGGUCUCCAAAAUCAUGUGUCGCACGUUCGAGUCGUGCCGCCCCUGUCA
rnacentral:tRNA from 1 species